rnacentral:rRNA from 1 species
UACGUAGGGUGCGAGCGUUAAUCGGAAUUACUGGGCGUAAAGCGUGCGCAGGCGGUGAUGUAAGACCGAUGUGAAAUCCCCGGGCUUAACCUGGGAACUGCAUUGGUGACUGCAUUGCUGGAGUAUGGCAGAGGGGGGUGGAAUUCCACGUGUAGCAGUGAAAUGCGUAGAGAUGUGGAGGAACACCGAUGGCGAAGGCAGCCCCCUGGGCCCAUACUGACGCUCAUGCACGAAAGCGUGGGGAGCAAACAGG